ensembl:lncRNA
AUGGACCUGCAGGUGCUCUUGGGAGUUUGAGCCAAGACACGGCUAGUGAUGUCAGACAAAGACCGAUAAAGAGUGAUAUGAACAUAUCUAUAACUUACCGGAAUGAAAAUGUCUGGAGCACACCAACAGAUAUUUGGAGAUGGAAGACAACUGGAUAUCAGCUGGUCUCACAGCUGCUAUCCAGACUAGACGCCUUCUUUUGGUAACAUCCGAUACAUGAGCUGCCUCAUGUUGCUUCCAGGUGGGGAAAGAAUGAAAAGAUAAACCAUUUUCAACCUUAUUCCCUUGCCGGUCGUGCGAUCUAACUUUACAACCGACCGCACAGCAAGUACGAACCAUAGCUGGUGUUAUCCGUGUACUUUCGCUCCUCUUUCGCUAGCGCUUUGUUCGGCCCAGAAACAUGGCGCCUCAACCAAAAAUCCUGACCACGCCCCCUCUCGUGACAUCACUCUCCCCUUCCGGUAUUUCAGACAAUCCCUUUCCGUCAAGGAUUUUUAAUUUGUUGUGGUUUUUUAAUUUGUUGUGGGUUUUUAAUUUGUUGUGGAUUUUUAAUUUGUUGUGGUUUUUUAAUUUGUUGUGGGUUUUUAAUUUGUUGUGGGUUUUUAAUUUGUUCUGGAUUUUUAAUUUGUUGUGGUUUUUUAAUUUGUUGUGGAUUUUUAAUUUGUUGCGGUUUUUUAAUUUGUUGUGGAUUUUUAAUUUGUUGCAUUUUUUAAAUUUGUUGUGGAUUUUUAAUUUGUUGCGUUUUUUUAAUUUGUUGUGGAUUUUUAAUUUGUUGUGGAUUUUUAAUUUGUUGCGCUUUGCACUUCCCAGCCACCGUAAAAACAUUAUUUAGAAUUAAAACAACCCCCAAAAUGUAAAAUUUCUUUUCUUUCUAUUCUUUGUAACUUUCCAAAGUACUGCCAAUUGUCUUUGUGGUACACGGCUUUGUGUCUAUAUAACGUACAAAAAUGCCAUCCAUCUGCUCCCAUAUCAGUUUUAUGUUUAUGGGCCGCUUCGAUGAACCUACUAUAAAAAGUCAAUGAAUUUUCCAUUAGCAUAUGGGCUUGGUAAGCUGUGAAUGGACUCUACAGACUGUUGGUGCUUUGAAGUUAAAUGUUAAUAAGCUUUAUUUCUUCAUGGAGGCAACUGCAACAGCAAAUUGCAAUAGCUUAGAAUCUAGGAGUCAAGAAUGAUUACGGAUUCAAGCUGACCAAAAAAGACCAAAAAGAAAAUAGACCAAGAGAAGUGCGUGGGGUGAUGAUUUUAUCUGUCAACCUUAUGCAUGCAUGUGUGCAAGUCUUUGUCAGAAAUUACAUGGUCAUUUACCUUGUAGUCCCAAAAGUCAGUAAAUAUGCACAGCAUCUGCAGUCAUGCAAAAGUUGAUGACAACCCAAACUCUAACCAAAAACUGUAACCCUAUGUUUAGGUGGAGGUAGAGCAGGUCACCUACUAAUUGGAAGUUUAGUGGUUUGAUCCCCAUCUGCUAUGGUCUGCUUGCCAAAUAUCUUUGGGCAAGUUACUAACCCCAAGUUGCUUUCCGAUGCAUCUAUG